GCGGGGACCCCCGGCGGCCGCCCCUAGCCCGGGCCCGCGUGGCCAGCCCUGCAUCCCCCGCCGCCCGCCCCGCCGCGCGGGGGACUCGGGCCCACGGGCGAAUUUCCUGGUGCCCGCGGGAGGCGUGGAAAAGGCAGGAGCGCGGCCGGCGGCGGCCCUCCCGCCGCCACUCCCUCCCGGGGACCCCGGAGCCCGGGGGUGGGGGGGCCGCCCUCGAACCCCAGCCGCGCACCGUUGGGGCGGCGCGCACCUGCCCAGCCCCGUGUUUGUAAACAAACCGCGCGCCUAAUUAGCCCGGCGGGGGCGCGCGCGAAGGGCGGAGGCGGGGCUUUGGCGCGCGCGCGCGCGCGCAGGGGCGGCCCCGCCCGGGGAGGAGCCGCCCUCGGCCGCGCCCCCUCCGUCUACCCUUCUCCGCCUGGGCCCGCCGCCCAGCUCGUGUCCCCCUGGCGCGGGGGUCGAGAGCCCGAUGCCGCUGGCGUGCGAGAAGGCGCCGAACCGCCGGAGCUGGCAGGGAGCAGGGGGUGUUCACGGCUCUGCCCAAAGCCCUGGUCGGUCCGCCAGCCUCAGUUUCCCCAUCUGCGCCGGGAGGAGCAGGAAUGAGCUAAAGGUCCCCAUCCUGAGAUUCCAGGAGUGGGCCACAAAGAAACAAUCACGGUAAUAGAACGGAGGCGGGCUGGCCCGGGAAGUGCUGCGGUUUCUGGUCUCCUGGAAUCCUCGCUCAAAGUGGAGGUGCCCCUGGCAUUACAAGGCCGUGGUGACAACCCCUCUUGGCUUUGCCACCUGCAGGAAAGCUAUCUGUGUUGACGUCCUGUGACAUCAUGGCCCUGUCUGUAUUCCCUCCUCCUAUCCCCUGCCUCUGAGGAGGAAUCCCGAGAUGACGAGAUAAGUAUGUUCAGAAUGAUUGAAAAUGUAAAAUAAUAAUAAAAAAAAAAAGGCUAACAAAAAUUUUGAAAUUU